CCAGCGUCUGAUUAGCCAGUUGGCAGGGUAACGGCCUACCAAAGCGACGAUCAGUAGCCGACCUGAGAGGGUGACGGCCACAUUGGGACUGAGACACGGCCCAAACUCCUACGGGAGGCAGCAGUGGGGAAUAUUGCACAAUGGGCGAAAGCCUGAUGCAGCGACGCCGCGUGAGCGAAGAAGUAUUUCGGUAUGUAAAGCUCUAUCAGCAGGGAAGAUAAUGACGGUACCUGACUAAGAAGCACCGGCUAAAUACGUGC
rnacentral:rRNA from 1 species